UGGGGAAUCUUCCGCAAUGGACGAAAGUCUGACGGAGCAACGCCGCGUGGGUGACGAAGGUUUUCGGAUCGUAAAACCCUGUCAAGAAGGAAGAAAAAAGACGGUACUUCUGAAGGAAGCCCCGGCUAACUACGUGCCAGCAGCCGCGGUAAUACGGAGGAUGCGAGCGUUAUCCGGAUUUAUUGGGUUUAAAGGGUGCGUAGGCGGUUUGAUAAGUUAGUGGUCAAAUGUCAGGGCUAAACCUUGGCUUGCCAUUAAAACUGUCAGACUCGAGUACAGACUAGGUAGGCGGAAUAAGUUAAGUAGCGGUGAAAUGCAUAGAUAUAACGAAGAACUCCAAUUGCGAAGGCAGCUCACUAGACUGCAACUGACACUGAGGCUCGAAAGUGUGGGUAUCAAACA
rnacentral:rRNA from 1 species